rnacentral:rRNA from 1 species
CUCACCAGGUCAGGACACGGUAAGGAUUGACGGACUGAAGGCUCUUUCUCGAUUCCGUGGAAAGUGGUGCAUGGCCGUUUUGGUUGGUGGAUCGAUCCGUCUGGUUAAUUCCGUUAACGAACGAGACCUCGGCACUCCGAAUAGCGCGGCGGACGUCGCGGCCUCCGGGCCGUCUUCCGCACGAGCUUCUUAGAGGGACCGUCCCCCGCCGGGGAAGGAGGUGCGAGGCAACGACAGGUCUGUGAUGCCCUUAGAUGUUCUGGGCCGCACGCGCAUUACACUGACGCGUCCAACGGGUGACUCCCGACCCGAAGGGGCCGGGGAAUCCGCAAGGCGCGUCGUGAUGGGGAUUGAACGUUGCAAUUGUUGUUCACGAACGAGGAAUUCCUAGUAGGCGCGGGUCAUCAACCCGCGCCGAUUACGUCCCUGCCCUUUGUACACACCGCCCGU